GUGCUCGCUUCGGCAGCACAUACACUAAAACUGGAACGACAGAGAUGAUUAGCAUGGCGCCUGAGAAGGGAGAGACAGAAAAGACAAUCCCAGUGUCCAU
rnacentral:snRNA from 1 species